rnacentral:rRNA from 1 species
GUGCCAGCAGCUGCGGUAAUACGUAGGUGGCGAGCGUUAUCCGGAAUUAUUGGGCGUAAAGGGAGCGUAGGCGGUUAUUAAGUCUAAGGUGAAAGUUCGGGGCUCAACCCCGUGAUGCCUUAGAAACUGGUAGACUUGAGUACAGGAGAGGUGAGUGGAAUUCCAUGUGUAGCGGUAAAAUGCGUAGAUAUAUGGAGGAACACCAGUGGCGAAGGCGGCUCACUGGCCUGUAACUGACGCUGAGGCUCGAAAGCGUGGGGAGCAAAUAGGAUUAGAUACCCUAGUAGUCCACGCCGUAAACGAUGGAUACUAAGUGUUGACGAAGUUCAGUGCUGCAGUUAACGCAAUAAGUAUCCCGCCUGGGGAGUAUGCGCGCAAGCGUAAAACUCAAAGGAAUUGACGGGGCCCGCACAAGCGGUGGAGUAUGUGGUUUAAUUCGAAGCAACGCGAAGAACCUUACCAGGUCUGACAUACCACGCAAAGCACAGAGAUGUGUAAUAGUUAUGGUGGAUAC